UACGGGGGGGGCAAGCGUUGUUCGGAAUUACUGGGCGUAAAGGGCUCGUAGGCGGCCAACUAAGUCAGACGUGAAAUCCCUCGGCUUAACCGGGGAACUGCGUCUGAUACUGGAUGGCUUGAGGUUGGGAGAGGGAUGCGGAAUUCCAGGUGUAGCGGUGAAAUGCGUAGAGAUGCGGAGGAACACCGAUGGCGAAGGCAGCCCCCUGGGCUGACACUGACGCUCAGGCACGAAAGCGUGGGGAGCAAACAGG
rnacentral:rRNA from 1 species